rnacentral:rRNA from 1 species
UACGUAGGGGCAAGCGUUGUCCGGAUUUAUUGGGCGUAAAGAGCGUGUAGGCGGCCGUACAGGUCAUGCUGUGAAAACUCGAGGCUCAACCUCGAGACGUCGGUUGAAACCGUACGGCUAGAGUCCGGAAGAGGAGAGUGGAAUUCCCGGUGUAGAGGUGAAAUUCGUAGAUAUCGGGAAGGAACACCGGUGGCGAAGGCGGCGACCUGGUCCGACACUGACGCUGAGGCGCGAAAGCGUGGGGAGCAAACAGGA